rnacentral:rRNA from 1 species
ACAGAGGUCUCAAGCGUUGUUCGGAAUUACUGGGCGUAAAGGGUGCGCAGGCCGCGCGGGCAGUCAAAUGUGUAAUUCAGGGGCUCAACCCCUGCACUGCGCUUGAUACUUCCGCGCUCGAACCUUGGAGAGGAGUCUGGAAUUCUCGGUGUAGCAGUGAAAUGCGUGGAUAUCGAGAAGAACACUUAGGGCGAAAGCAAGACUCUGGACAAGUGUUGACGCUCAUGCACGAAGGCUAGGGUAGCGAACGGGA